rnacentral:rRNA from 1 species
GACGAACGCUGGCGGCGUGCCUAACACAUGCAAGUCGAGCGAAUGAAGUUCCUUCGGGAAUGGAUUUAGCGGCGGACGGGUGAGUAACACGUGGGCAACCUGCCUCAUAGAGGGGAAUAGCCUUCCGAAAGGGAGAUUAAUACCGCAUAAGAUUGUAGUGCCGCAUGGUACAGCAAUUAAAGGAGCAAUUCGCUAUGAGAUGGGCCCGCGGCGCAUUAGCUAGUUGGUGAGGUAACGGCUCACCAAGGCGACGAUGCGUAGCCGACCUGAGAGGGUGAUCGGCCACAUUGGGACUGAGACACGGCCCAGACUCCUACGGGAGGCAGCAGUGGGGAAUAUUGCACAAUGGGGGAAACCCUGAUGCAGCAACGCCGCGUGAGUGAUGACGGCCUUCGGGUUGUAAAGCUCUGUCUUCAGGGACGAUAAUGACGGUACCUGAGGAGGAAGCCACGGCUAACUACGUGCCAGCAGCCGCCGUAAAAC